CGUCUGCCAUCCCAACCAAGAUCUGAAGCACUUGCAGACAGAACCUGAGUCAGCCUUGGCACAGGACAGCUCAACAGGGCCUGGGUGAAUUAACGGAUGAACGAGUAAAUGAGUGCUGCCCACACCUGCCCUCCUGGAUCUGCCCCCGGAGGUGGCUCCAUCCUGAAUGGAAUAAACCCACAGGCCAAGGGGCCGCUGGCUGCAGGGACGCCCGGGUGCUUCCAGACGGCCUUAUGGAGAAGAUGCCAUGGGCGAGACGGCGGGAGCCAGGAGGGCGCGUG